ACCUCUGCAAUAAGCGAAAGCUUGACAGGGUUACUCUGAGUGAUUUCCGCUAAGGAAGUCUUUUGGCACCUCUAAAAAUGGUGCAGAAUAAGGGGUGGGCAAGUCUGGUGUCAGCCGCCGCGGUAAUACCAGCACCCCGAGUGGUCGGGACGAUUAUUGGGCCUAAAGCAUCCGUAGCCGGUCCUGCAAGUCCUCCGUUAAAUCCACCCGCUCAACGGUUGGGCCGCGGGGGAUACUACAGGGCUAGGAGGCGGGAGAGGCAAGCGGUACUCGAUGGGUAGGGGUAAAAUCCACUGAUCCAUUGAAGACCACCAGUGGCGAAGGCGGCUUGCCAGAACGCGCUCGACGGUGAGGGAUGAAAGCUGGGGGAGCAAACCGGAUUAGAUACCCGGGUAGUCCCAGCUGUAAACGAUGCAGACUCGGUGAUGGGCUGGCUUCGUGCCAACCCGGUGCCGCAGGGAAGCCAUUAAGUCUACCGCCUGGGGAGUACGGUCGCAAGACUGAAACUUAA
rnacentral:rRNA from 1 species